UGGGGAAUUUUGGACAAUGGGCGAAAGCCUGAUCCAGCAAUGCCGCGUGUGUGAAGAAGGCCUUCGGGUUGUAAAGCACUUUUGUCCGGAAAGAAAUCCUUGGCUCUAAUACAGUCGGGGGAUGACGGUACCGGAAGAAUAAGCACCGGCUAACUACGUGCCAGCAGCCGCGGUAAUACGUAGGGUGCAAGCGUUAAUCGGAAUUACUGGGCGUAAAGCGUGCGCAGGCGGUUUGCUAAGACCGAUGUGAAAUCCCCGGGCUCAACCUGGGAACUGCAUUGGUGACUGGCAGGCUAGAGUAUGGCAGAGGGGGGUAGAAUUCCACGUGUAGCAGUGAAAUGCGUAGAGAUGUGGAGGAAUACCGAUGGCGAAGGUCCAGGCCCCAUGGCAAUCUGACGCUCAUGCACGAAAGCGUGGGGGAGCAAAACAGGAUUAGAUACCCCUGGUAGUCCACGCCCUAAAACGAUGUCAACUAGUUGUUGGGGGAUUCAUUUCCUUAGUAACGUAGCUAACGCGUGAAGUUGACCGCCUGGGGAGUACGGUCGCAAGAUUAAAACUUAAAUGAAUUGAC
rnacentral:rRNA from 1 species